rnacentral:rRNA from 1 species
AACGAACGCUGGCGGCAGGCUUAACACAUGCAAGUCGAACGCCCCGCAAGGGGAGUGGCAGACGGGUGAGUAACACGUGGGGAUCUGCCCAAUGGUACGGAAUAAUUCCGGGAAACUGGGACUAAUACCGUAUGUGCCCGCAAGGGGAAAGAUUUAUCGCCAUUGGAUGAACCCGCGUCGGAUUAGCUAGUUGGUGAGGUAAAGGCUCACCAAGGCGACGAUCCGUAGCUGGUCUGAGAGGAUGAUCAGCCACACUGGGACUGAGACACGGCCCAGACUCCUACGGGAGGCAGCAGUGGGGAAUAUUGGACAAUGGGCGCAAGCCUGAUCCAGCCAUGCCGCGUGAGUGAUGAAGGCCUUAGGGUUGUAAAGCUCUUUCGCCGACGAAGAUAAUGACGGUAGUCGGAGAAGAAGCCCCGGCUAACUUCGUGCCAGCAGCCGCCGUAACAC